rnacentral:ncRNA from 1 species
UGCCACAGGCAUCAAGGGGUCCGAAAGGCUCCCUGAUGUGCCUGACUGGGACUGAGUAAGUCUCAGGGGCCAAGGAAAGGUAAGGAGUAAAAUCCUUACUAAGUACUUGGAGGCCAGAAGGUAACAGGGGUAUUGGAAAAGCCCGGUACCUCUGUGAAAUCUGGUAAAACCCUGGGAUGAGAGGUCUCGGGAGGGUGCAAGGGAGAAGCUGAGUAGGGUCCGUUGAGCCUGUGGCA